rnacentral:miRNA from 1 species
UAGUUGAUGGCUAUCAAUU